UCUCGCAACACUUCCCAUAAUUUGUUUUCAUUCGUUGCUGAGUCCGCCAUGUUCUAUUUUCUCCGAUGUCUUUCCGUCGCGGCAAAAUGAUUAAAUCUUGCACGAAAAGUGAGUGUUUUAAAAGUGUAGCUUCAGCCAAAGGUAAAUAUGAUCGUGAUUUGCCUGCAGAACAAAAAGAUCCAGAGCGAGACGGUCGUUCCGCUGGACAAAGGCAAUUCCUCUUCCACACCUCCGAAUGCCGCCGAGGAAGUGCAGAAGAAGACGCACACUUUUUAUCAGCUCAACGGGACCGUCCGCAUACACGACCGAACGGAGGCCAUCAACAUCAUGGGGAAUCCGGAAUCCAGCAGUAUAUGCCAUUCCGGAGCUGACCCACUAGGACAUAUUGCCGUAUAGUUCCGGCGAACAGCAUCCGCUACAGCGCGAUGUAUUGGAUAAGUUUCUGGGACAUCAACCGGAGCGCCGUUAACCGGAGCGCGAAGAAGAAUCAUCCCUGGGAACAUACGGGAAAACCGUGGCACGGUAGUUUCGGUGUAUUGGAUCGGUACAAACACAUCCCCGAGUGCUUAUAUUUUAUCUGGAAGAAUCCACUGCGGUUCCUCGGAUUCGUCAUUUGAAGCGUUCCAGCCAUUGUGAUCCAUCAUUUGUUUAAUUAUUAGAUGCAAUAAAAAAAUGAGAUGAAUGCAAUAAAAAAAUAAUUCGAUGUUUUAAAUGAUCCUGUA